CUAUCUCUCUCUCUCACGCAGUCUCUCUCUCGGACCCAUCUCUCUCUCUCACGCAGUCUCUCUCUCUCUCACGCAGUCUCUCUUUGAGGCUCUCUUCUCAAGCUCACAUUCUCCAGCUCAACACUUUGUGGCUUUGUUCACAAAAGGCUCUCUUCUCAAGCUCACAUUCUCCAAAUCUCUCUCUCA